AAAACAUCCAUAAUAAAAAGAAAACAACUGCAAAGGGUGGCAAAAAAACAAACCCAAUCUGACAAGGAAACUGAACAAGCAAAAGACAAUGCUGCAGAAAGAAGAGGGCAAGCGUCGGAGACGAUAAGAGAAAAGAGAUAAAAAAUGAUGGAGCUCAGUCAACACACAUUGCUCCGGAUCACUUUGCCUCAACAGAGGCACAAAAUGAAUCCUCUCAGACACUGCCAACUGUAAAUCUCGGAAGUGAACUACUCUUGCAGACUCAGGAAACCUCCGCACCGUCUGUAAAUGUCCAAGACAAUACCAGGAAAAAUAUCCCAGAAUCCAUGGAAAAAUAUUUUAGAAAAAAGAAAAUCCAUCCAAGAAAGACUUAAAAAAGUCCACCAGUGU